rnacentral:rRNA from 1 species
UACGAAGGGGGCUAGCGUUGCUCGGACUCACUGGGCGUAAAGGGUGCGUAGGCGGGUCUUUAAGUCAGAGGUGAAAUCCUGGAGCUCAACUCCAGAACUGCCUUUGAUACCGAGGAUCUUGAGUACGGGAGAGGUGAGUGGAACUGCGAGUGUAGAGGUGAAAUUCGUAGAUAUUCGCAAGAACACCAGUGGCGAAGGCGGCUCACUGGCCCGUUACUGACGCUGAGGCACGAAAGCGUGGGGAGCAAACAGG